rnacentral:sRNA from 1 species
CCCGCGCCGAGCGAUCUUUGAUGUCCGU